GACGUAGGGCGCAAGCGUUGUCCGGAAUUAUUGGGCGUAAAGAGCUCGUAGGCGGCCUGGUAAGUCCGCUGUGAAAGUCCAGGGCUCAACCCUGGAAUGCCGGUGGAAACUGUCAGGCUCGAGUCCGGAAGAGGCGAGUGGAAUUCCUGGUGUAGCGGUGAAAUGCGCAGAUAUCGGGAGGAACACCGAUGGCGAAGGCAGGUCUCUGGGCCACUACUGACGCUGAGAAGCGAAAGCAUGGGGAGCGAACAGG
rnacentral:rRNA from 1 species